UGAUCCUGGCUCAGGAUGAACGCUAGCGGCAGGCCUAACACAUGCAAGUCGAGGGGCAGCGGGAGUGCUUGCACUCGCCGGCGACCGGCGCACGGGUGCGGAACGCGUAUCGAAUCUACCUCUAUCUGGGGGAUACCCCAUGGAAACGUGGAAUAAUACCCCAUAGUAUUACUUUUUCGCAUGAUUUAGUAAUUAAAGAAUUUCGGAUAGAGAUGACGAUGCGUAUCAUUAGCUAGUAGGUAAGGUAACGGCUUACCUAGGCUACGAUGAUUAGGGGUCCUGAGAGGGAGAUCCCCCACACUGGUACUGAGACACGGACCAGACUCCUACGGGAGGCAGCAGUGAGGAAUAUUGGACAAUGGUCGAAAGACUGAUCCAGCCAUGCCGCGCGCAGGAUGACUGCCCUAUGGGUUGUAAACUGCUUUUAUACGGGAAGAAAAACACCUACGUGUAGGUGACUGACGGUACCGUAAGAAUAAGGACCGGCUAACUCCGUGCCAGCAGCCGCGGUAAUACGGAGGGUCCAAGCGUUAUCCGGAAUCAUUGGGUUUAAAGGGUCCGUAGGCGGGCUAUUAAGUCAGGGGUGAAAGUUUGCAGCUCAACUGUAAAAUUGCCUUUGAUACUGGUAGUCUUGAAUUGUAGUGAAGUGGUUAGAAUAUGUGGUGUAGCGGUGAAAUGCAUAGAUAUCACAUAGAAUACCGAUUGCGAAGGCAGAUCACUAACUAUAUAUUGACGCUGAGGGACGAAAGCGUGGGGAGCGAACGGGAUUAGAUACCCCGGUAGU
rnacentral:rRNA from 1 species